rnacentral:rRNA from 1 species
GAUGAACGCUGGCGGCGUGCCUAAUACAUGCAAGUCGAGCGAAUGGAUUGAGAGCUUGCUCUUAUGAAGUUAGCGGCGGACGGGUGAGUAACACGUGGGUAACCUGCCCAUAAGACUGGGAUAACUCCGGGAAACCGGGGCUAAUACCGGAUAACAUUUUGAACCGCAUGGUUCGAAAUUGAAAGGCGGCUUCGGCUGUCACUUAUGGAUGGACCCGCGUCGCAUUAGCUAGUUGGUGAGGUAACGGCCCACCAAGGCAACGAUGCGUAGCCGACCUGAGAGGGUGAUCGGCCACACUGGGACUGAGACACGGCCCAGACUCCUACGGGAGGCAGCAGUAGGGAAUCUUCCGCAAUGGACGAAAGUCUGACGGAGCAACGCCGCGUGAGUGAUGAAGGCUUUCGGGUCGCAAAACUCUGUUGUUAGGGAAGAACAAGUGCUAGUUGAAUAAGCUAGCACCUUGACGGUACCUAACCAGAAAGCCACGGCUAACUACGUGCCAGCCGCCGCCGUAA